rnacentral:rRNA from 1 species
UGGGGAAUAUUGGACAAUGGGCGCAAGCCUGAUCCAGCAAUGCCGCGUGUGUGAAGAAGGCCUGCGGGUUGUAAAGCACUUUCGGUUGGGAAGAAAAGACCAAAGCUAAUAUCUUUGGGACUUGACAUUACCUUCAUAAGAAGCACCGGCUAACUCCGUGCCAGCAGCCGCGGUAAUACGGAGGGUGCGAGCGUUAAUCGGAAUUACUGGGCGUAAAGCGCGCGUAUGUGGUUUGAUAAGUCGGAUGUGAAAGCCCCGAGCUUAACUUGGGAACGGCAUUCGAUACUGUCUGACUAGAGUAUGGUAGAGGAAAGCGGAAUUCCCGGUGUAGCGGUCGAAAUGCGUAGAUAUCGGGAGGAACAUCAGUGGCGAAGGCGGCUUUCUGGACUAAUACUGACACUGAGGCGCGAAAGCGUGGGGAGCAAACAGGAUUAGAUACCCAAGUAGUCCCUGAGCGGGCUGGCAAGGCGCAU